rfam:Mortierella elongata AG-77 unplaced genomic scaffold K457scaffold_169, whole genome shotgun sequence.
AAUGUUGUUGCAAUAGUAAUUGAACUUAGUACGAGAGGAACCGUUCAUUCGGAUAAUUGGUAUUUGGGCCUGCCUGAGCAGGCAAUGGCCCGAAGCUAUCAUCCGUUGGGUUAUGGCUGAACGCCUCUAAGUCAGAACCCGUGCUAGAACGCGACGAUUACCGCCUUGUGCCAUUUUUAGUUGAAUACGAAUAGACCUUCGGAUCCUGAAUCAUACUACGCGGGGUUAUCUUGCAGAGCGGAAAGGCUUUGUGAGGUUCCUGCUAAUGUUAAUUUCAAAUAUUGGAAGAGAUAAAUCCAUUGCAGACGACUUUAAUUGAACGGGGUAUUGUAAGCAGUAGAGUAGCCUUGUUGCUACGAUCUGCUGAGAUUAAGCCCAUUGUUCUAUAGAUUU